CCCUACGGGAGGCUGCAGUGGGGAAUAUUGGACAAUGGGCGAAAGCCUGAUCCAGCAAUGCCGCGUGAGUGAUGAAGGCCUUAGGGUUGUAAAGCUCUUUUACCCGGGAAGAUAAUGACUGUACCGGGAGAAUAAGCCCCGGCUAACUCCGUGCCAGCAGCCGCGGUAAUACGGAGGGGGCUAGCGUUGUUCGGAAUUACUGGGCGUAAAGCGCACGUAGGCGGCUUUGUAAGUUAGAGGUGAAAGCCUGGGGCUCAACUCCAGAAUUGCCUUUAAGACUGCAUCGCUUGAACGUCGGAGAGGUGAGUGGAAUUCCGAGUGUAGAGGUGAAAUUCGUAGAUAUUCGGAAGAACACCAGUGGCGAAGGCGGCUCACUGGACGACUGUUGACGCUGAGGUGCGAAAGCGUGGGGAGCAAACAGGAUUAGAUACCCUAGUAGUC
rnacentral:rRNA from 1 species